UUAAUGACAUUGGGAUAGAGGUGGUAUCUCCCGAUCUGGAAAAACAGGGUUUUUAGUUGUAGUUUUUGUUGAUCGGGAAUAUAGCCGAAAGCCCGACCCGCU
rnacentral:sRNA from 1 species